ensembl:snoRNA small nucleolar RNA SNORA67
UCCCAAGGAGAUUCUGUUUCUAGUGGACAGAUCAUAUCCCCCAAGAAUGUAGCCUCUUGGGAAAAUAUCUGGCAUUCUUGAGAAUAUUGAGAAUGAGAGAAUAUGCUUCUUGUGUUCCCUUUUAUUAUUUGUAUAC